rnacentral:rRNA from 1 species
AGCGACACUGUGUGUUGUUGGGUAGGGGAGCGUUCUGUAAGCCUGUGAAGGUGUCUGUGAGGAUGCUGGAGGUAUCAGAAGUGCGAAUGCUGACAUAAGUAACGAUAAAGCGGGUGAAAAGCCCGCUCGCCGGAAGACCAAGGGUUCCUGUCCAACGUUAAUCGGGGCAGGGUGAGUCGACCCCUAAGGCGAGGCCGAAAGGCGUAGUCGAUGGGAAACAGGUUAAUAUUCCUGUACUUGGUGUUACUGCGAAGGGGGGACGGAGAAGGCUAUGUUGGCCGGGCGACGGUUGUCCCGGUUUAAGCGUGUAGGCUGGUUUUCCAGGCAAAUCCGGAAAAUCAAGGCUGAGGCGUGAUGACGAGGCACUACGGUGCUGAAGCAACAAAUGCCCUGCUUCCAGGAAAAGCCUCUAAGCAUCAGGUAACAUCAAAUCGUACCCCAAACCGACACAGGUGGUCAGGUAGAGAAUACCAAGGCGCUUGAGAGAACUCGGGUGAAGGAACUAGGCAAAAUGGUGCCGUAACUUCGGGAGAAGGCACGCUGAUAUGUAGGUGAAGUCCCUCGCGGAUGGAGCUGAAAUCAGUCGAAGAUACCAGCUGGCUGCAACUGUUUAUUAAAAACACAGCACUGUGCAAACACGAAAGUGGACGUAUACGGUGUGACGCCUGCCCGGUGCCGGAAGGUUAAUUGAUGGGGUCAGCGCAAGCGAAGCUCUUGAUCGAAGCCCCGGUAAACGGCGGCCGUAACUAUAACGGUCCUAAGGUAGCGAAAUUCCUUGUCGGGUAAGUUCCGACCUGCACGAAUGGCGUAAUGAUGGCCAGGCUGUCUCCACCCGAGACUCAGUGAAAUUGAACUCGCUGUGAAGAUGCAGUGUACCCGCGGCAAGACGGAAAGACCCCGUGAACCUUUACUAUAGCUUGACACUGAACAUUGAGCCUUGAUGUGUAGGAUAGGUGGGAGGCUUUGAAGUGUGGACGCCAGUCUGCAUGGAGCCGACCUUGAAAUACCACCCUUUAAUGUUUGAUGUUCUAACGUGGACCCGUGAUCCGGGUUGCGGACAGUGUCUGGUGGGUAGUUUGACUGGGGCGGUCUCCUCCUAAAGAGUAACGGAGGAGCACGAAGGUUGGCUAAUCCUGGUCGGACAUCAGGAGGUUAGUGCAAUGGCAUAAGCCAGCUUGACUGCGAGCGUGACGGCGCGAGCAGGUGCGAAAGCAGGUCAUAGUGAUCCGGUGGUUCUGAAUGGAAGGGCCAUCGCUCAACGGAUAAAAGGUACUCCGGGGAUAACAGGCUGAUACCGCCCAAGAGUUCAUAUCGACGGCGGUGUUUGGCACCUCGAUGUCGGCUCAUCACAUCCUGGGGCUGAAGUAGGUCCCAAGGGUAUGGCUGUUCGCCAUUUAAAGUGGUACGCGAGCUGGGUUUAGAACGUCGUGAGACAGUUCGGUCCCUAUCUGCCGUGGGCGCUGGAGAACUGAGGGGGGCUGCUCCUAGUACGAGAGGACCGGAGUGGACGCAUCACUGGUGUUCGGGUUGUCAUGCCAAUGGCACUGCCCGGUAGCUAAAUGCGGAAGAGAUAAGUGCUGAAAGCAUCUAAGCACGAAACUUGCCCCGAGAUGAGUUCUCCCUGACCCUUUAAGGGUCCUGAAGGAACGUUGAAGACGACGACGUUGAUAGGCCGGGUGUGUAAGCGCAGCGAUGCGUUGAGCUAACCGGUACUAAUGAACCGUGAGGCUUAACCUU